rnacentral:lncRNA from 1 species
GGAGACCCCAGAGUCCAGUCUGAGACGGCACAGGGAGCAGGUCUCUGGUGGCCUUGACAAGCUCCAGGAUAGGGGGAAACUUCUCAGCACAUUGUCCUUGGCCAGAUGCCACAGGAGCCGCUGACCCAGUGACGUCACCUCAUUCUGCUCAGAUCGCACCCCCUGUCCGUGGGGCACUGAGGCAGGAAGAGGAAACUGCUGUAAUCUCAGGAAGCUUUUGGCCAGUGGGGCCCUAGAGCCCUGCCCAAGCCCUACUGGGUGUGGCCCCGAGUCCAGGAACCCCCCUCCCCCCUGACCCUCAUGUCCCCUCGACCUCUGUGGCAUUUUAUAAAACAAAGGGGCCCCGGAAAGCGGAAGGAGGGGGUCACACGUGUGAGCCCUGAGCACCGAAGCUGCCCCCACAGGCCCUGGAAUCCUCCCCGUGUCCAAAGACAGCCUCCUCUUCAGUCAGUGCUCCCUGUCGUCCCCGGUCCUGGGCCUGGAGGGCUGCUGUGGGGCAGGAGCAGUGGCCACUGGGUCUCUGACCUGCACCAGGAGACACGGGGAGGCUUAGGCCUCUGAACCCACAUAGAGCAGGACCGCAGCCCCAGAAAAGGGAAGAUUUCAGCAGAGGAGGCCUGUGACGAGAGAGGCGAAGGCUUGAGGGGCUCCCUGUGGGGCCUGGAGUGUGGAAGCCCCAUUGGGGCCUGGCAGGGACCUGUACCAAGACAGUGAGGUCCUGCAGCAGCUGGGGUGAGGAGAGGAGACUCCCAGGCCUGGUAAAGCGCACAGGGGCCUCUGGCACCCCUACAAGAGGAGGUUGGAGUCACCUGACGCUGUCCUGAUGCGGCUCCUGCAGAGAAGACUCCUUACUUAGCCCACAGUGCUUCUACCCGCCCUGACACCGUCCUGAUGGGGUCCUGCAGAGAAGCCUCCUUACUUAGCCUACAGUUUUUCCACACGCCCUGACACCGUCCUGAUGGGGUCCUGCAGAGAAGCCUGCUUACUUAGCCUACAGUGUUUCCACACGCCCUGACACCGUCCUGAUGGGGUCCUGCAGAGAAGCCUCCUUAGCCCACAGUGCUUCUACCCACCCUCAAUGUAUAACUUCACGUUCAGAAAUGUGUUACCCCCCUCCUCAGACCUCACACAAUUCACGAAUUUCCAAACAGCAGGAAACAGAAACUUCUAAGAAAGCAGAACCCUUGAGUCCAGGUGGGAGAAGGUGCCUGAGAAAACAGCCCUGCCAGAGACAGUACCCCAGCAUCCGGACGUUACUCCACAGACGGCCACGUAAGAGACCAGGAACCACCCUUCCCACGGUACCCCAGCGUCCGGACGCUACUCCACAGACGGCCACGUAAGAGACCGGGAACCACCCUUCCCACGGUACCCCAGCGUCCGGACGCUACUCCACAGACGGCCACGUAAGAGACCAGGAACCACACUUCCCAAGCCUUCUGCACUCCCAAAAACAUCAGCUUCCCGGAAACCUGAGACAUGCUCAAGGAAGAGCACGGUGUGAAGUCAGCUGUGGGUGGAGGAUGACCCAGGUGCCCAGGCAAGAGACUGAAGGCACAAACUGUUUCAGUAUAAUAAAGAAAAUGGAAUAAGAA